rnacentral:rRNA from 1 species
GGGUGCUAUCAUACCAACACUAAUGCACCGGAUCCCAUCAGAACUCCGAAGUUAAACGUGCUUGGUUCAGAGAAAUGCCAAGAUGGAGGACCUCUUGGAAAGUUCUCGAACCUGCC